rnacentral:lncRNA from 1 species
AUAUCACUUUUUUUUUUUUUUUAAAGACAGGCAGACAUCCAGAUUGUCUAUGACAAGUAGGCCUUUUGCCAGAUCUGUCUCUCUUCUGUGAGGGAGCCCAUCCUGUUUGGAGAGUCUGAGUCAAUCCUUGCUAGCAAUUUCAGUCACACACUUGUGUUUAAUCUAAGCUUAUUUCUUAGGCUCUGCUGGUUGUGAGUUUUUUUUCUCUGCCUCCUAUAGUGGGAAAUUAAAUCAACAUUUGACUCAAAGGAGUUCUGAGUGAAUUAACUGUUUUGCAAAUGUUUUCAGUCAUUACGAGUAUUGUGUAAAAAAAAAAAAAAAAAAAAAAAAAAGAGGGCGUGUAGCUUCUGCAAAUCCCCUGCUUUAGCGUUUUCUGAUUUAAUUCUCAAAGAUAAAAAAGUAUUAUAACCCCAGAAUUUCCUAUUUAAUGCUAGUUUGGGGAAAGUACAACAGGUCAGGAAAACUCCAGUUCUCUCAGGGAUUUCCUUCAUGGUUAGCAUCACUUUGAGGGCUGGAGCUACAGCCCUCAUGGAUACAUGCUGUGGGACUGAGUUAGAGACCAGGUCUUAGAUGGCUGCAGCAGCCCACCACGUUCCAUAGUCAUUUGCCUCAAAACCAGACUUAGUUAGUCCUGAUUGUUUUGUUUUUGUUUUUCUUCCUUAGAGAUUAUAAUUUAACUUAAACGACCGUAAUCUGAGACUCUGGGUUUAUCUGCUUUAAUUAAGCCUAGCUUCUAUGACGUAGUAGGAUUGUUUCUUCAAUGAAAGGGACGGUCUGAGCCCUUUACUUCCCCAGAAGUAGACUUCUGAGAGUGCCCACCUCACCUGAAGAAAUACCCCCCCAAACUGCAAGGCAGUCUGAGUGCUGCAGUGAUACUACAGAGCUGACUGCUGGUGUUCCUUGGUGUUCUUGCUUGGCUUUUGUUUUGUUGACAGUCUUGUUACAUAUCCCUGGCUGGCCCCUACAUAAGUCAGUGUCACCACCCUUGGCAAAGUGGCUUGCUUCUGCCAUGGAAAUAGCCGGAGAAAGUCACAUUUCAGUUUGUGUUUAUGUCUCUUAUGUCUGCUUUUCUUAGAUUUGACUGGUCAAGCACAGCAUUGUACUAGAGCGUUCUUCCUGCAGUAGAAACCUUCUCUGUGGGAAGGAGCUAUUUCCCAUCUAUUAAUCCUUGGCCAGCAUCUGGUCCCCAGGAAGAUCCAGGUUACUUGUGGCUGUUUUAAUUCUUGGGUGGUCUCUUUAACAGUGGUAUCUUGGUUCUCUGAGAUCUACUGUGAAAAUGUGUGAGAUUGGCUAGAUUUAACAUGAUUUGUUAAUCUUAAAAUAUCUCUUGUUGGUGCUGGAGAGAUGGUCUAUUGGUUAAGAGCACUAACUGCUCUUUAGGAGAGCCUGAGUUCUGUUCCCAGGACCCAAGCCACUAGCUUCUACUCCAAGGCAUCCACUACCCUCUUCUGGUGUGUGUGUGUGUGUGUGUGUGUGUGUGUGUGUGUGUGUGUGUGAGAGAGAGAGAGAGAGAGAGAGAGAGAGAGAGAGAGAGAGAGGGAGAGAGAGAGAGAGGCAAGGAGGGAGAGAGAGAGCUUGCACAUAUAAAUCUUUAAAUUAUCCUACCAUCAUAAAGGAUUUCCAUUAUCAUCAGCCCACCUGGUAUUUUACCUGAGGGUAUCAGGCUGAACCCAGAGGAUACAGGCAACAUGAGCCCUUGGACUCAGAGUAGCCUUUCAUUUGAGAUUGCUGUACUUAACAAGGAAGUUACAAUAAAAAGCUAAUACCCCAGCAAAAUAUUUAAAAGUAUAUAUACAUAUAAUAUGCAUUUUAAAUGCUUUGCUCACUUGGAAAUUGUAUUUGUGAAAUAUGUCACAGAUAUUGUCAAUCUUUAAGUUGAAAGCAAAAUACAACUUAUCUUUCUUACUGGCAUAUCAGUUAUAAUUCCUAUUAAUUUUGAACUCCAUGACUUAAAAUCCUGGUUCAGACUUGGCAGUAGUACAUACCUUUUAAUCCCAGUUCUCAAGGCAGAGGCAGGCAGAUCUCUGUGAGUUCAAGGCCAGCUUGGUCUACAUAGUAAGUUCCAGGCCACCUCCUGGUUUGCAAACUCAGUGCAUAUGGAAGCUGAAUCCUGAUAGCAGCAGGCUGUGAGGGCUGCCCAGAAAUCUCAACAGCCAAUUAUGACACAUAAAUUCCACAUAAGUAGAGAUAAAACAUGGGAGCAGAGGCAUCCUGCUGUCUUUGAAGAGUAGUGAAGGGAUUUAGAUAAUAACCUAUUAUGUGCCAGGCUUUCCUACUGCACAUCUCAGAAGCCUCCUUUAGACUCUUCUGUUAUAUCAUCCCAGGGCCCCGAAGGCAAGUUUGGAGGCUCUUGAAUUUGAGGCCAUUCUGAACUAUACCAUGAAGCCCUGACUCC